ACAGCAGUCGCCGCGGUAAUACGUAGGGGGCGAGCGUUGUCCGAAGUUACUGGGCGUAAAGAGCGCGUAGGCGGGUUCUUAAGUGAGGGGUGAAAGGUUCAGGGCUCAACCCGGACACUGCCUUUCAUACUGGGAACCUUGAGUGUGGGAGAGGCGAGUGGAAUGGUCGGUGCAGCGGUGAAAUGCGUAGAUAUCGAUCGGAACACCCAUGGCGAAGGCAGCUCGCUGGCCUAUAACUGACGCUGAGGCGCGAAAGCGUGGGGAGCGAACAGGAUUAGAUACCCCAGUAGUCCCUGUCUCUUAUA
rnacentral:rRNA from 1 species